GACGAACGCUGGCGGCGUGCUUAACACAUGCAAGUCGAACGAAGAGCGAUGGAAGCUUGCUUCUAUCAAUCUUAUGGCGAACGGUGAGUAACGCGUAAUCAACCUGCCCUUCAGAGGGGGACAACAGUUGGAAACGACUGCUAAUACCGCAUACGAUCUAAUCUCGGCAUCGAGGAUAGAUGAAAGGUGGCCUCUACAUGUAAGCUAUCACUGAAGGAGGGGAUUGCGUCUGAUUAGCUAUUGGAGGGGUAACGGCCCACCAAGGCGAUGAUCAGUAGCCGGUCUGAGAGGAUGAACGGCCACAUUGGGAUGAGACACGGCCCAGACUCCUACGGGAGGCAGCAGUGGGGAAUCUUCCGCAAUGGACGAAAGUCUGACGGAGCAACGCCGCGUGAGUGAUGACGCCUUCGGGUUGUAAAGUCUGUUAAUCGGGACGAAAGGCCUUCUUGCGAAUAGUAGAAGG
rnacentral:rRNA from 1 species